rnacentral:rRNA from 1 species
GUCCACGCCGUAAACGAUGGGUGCUAGGUGUGGGGGGUGUCGACUCCCUCCGUGCCGAAGCUAACGCAUUAAGCACCCCGCCUGGGGAGUACGGCCGCAAGGCUAAAACUCAAAGGAAUUGACGGGGGCCCGCACAAGCAGCGGAGCAUGUGGUUUAAUUCGACGCGACGCGAAGAACCUUACCAAGGCUUGACAUGCAUGGGAAUGUCGGAGAAAUUCGGCAGCCCUUCGGGGCUCAUGCACAGGUGGUGCAUGGCUGUCGU